GAUUCCGAAACUAAGUUAUAGAAAUAGGCAAGAUAAAAAGUACUUGCCUGCUACUCCGAUGGCGAUUCCUUCAAAGACAGAAUGAAAACAGAGUGCCAAUAUCAGUAAUAAACUGUCACCCACAGAAGCCGAACUAGGAUCUAUGUUGGCCAAUCUUCUUGUGGAAAAAAUCAUUAACACUUCACUGGCGUAGCGACCAAGCUAUAUGUUUUUUCUCAAUAAUUAUCAUGGUUGCUCUCACUCAAGAAACAUUUAAUCAAGGCCUGAGAUGAAAAACCAUGAAAUUGCAGAGCAAGUAUCAACUAUCAACUAACCUGAUAUCUGAAGGUGGUAUCUCCAGUGUGUGCAGGGAAUUCUUCAAGAUCAUCUGCUAGUUUACAACAUGGUCAGAUGCAGGGAAGUUGAACCUGCAAAGUGGGAAUACAUAUGAUUGGAGUAUGAGAAUGAAAUUUAAUAGAAUACC